AUGGCCAGAUAUACUCCCGAGUCGUCCCCACGGGAGCCUCGGUCAGCUCGGACCUCGGACCCCCUCAUUCUGGAGAUAUACAGUCAGGCCACAAGCCAGCGAAUAAAUCACUCAAAAUCAACUAUAUAUUUCAGCAAAGGGGUGCCAGACAGUGUUAGGCAGGAGAUCAAGACUUUGCUUAAUGUGCCAAAUGAAACUUUGAAUGAAAAAUAUUUGGGGAUGCCAUCGGAUAUAGGAAGCUCAAAAGGGGCCUUCAAAUAUCUUAAGGACCGUCUUUGGAGCAAGGUA
rnacentral:rRNA from 1 species